rnacentral:rRNA from 1 species
AGCUGGAAUCGCUAGUAAUCGCGGAUCAGCAUGCCGCGGUGAAUACGUUCCCGGGCCUUGUACACACCGCCCGUCACACCACGAGAGUUUGUAACACCCGAAGUCGGUGAGGUAACCUUUAUGGAGCCAGCCGCCGAAGGUGGGACAGAUGAUUGGGGUGAAGUCGUAACAAGGUAGCCGUAUCGGAAGGUGCGGCUGGAUCACCUCCUUUCUAAGGA